UGGCGAACGGGUGAGAAACACGUGGGUAAUCUGCCCUGCACUCUGGGAUAAGCCUGGGAAACUGGGUCUAAUACUGGAUAUGACCCUUCUCCUUAUGGGGUCUGGUGGAAAGUUUUUCGGUGUAGGAUGAGCCCGCGGCCUAUCAGCUUGUUGGUGGGGUGAUGGCCUACCAAGGCGACGACGGGUAGCCGGCCUGAGAGGGUGAUCGGCCACAUUGGGACUGAGAUACGGCCCAG
rnacentral:rRNA from 1 species